rnacentral:lncRNA from 1 species
GAAAGGAAAGAACACAAACCCUAGGUGGGAAAAUUGAAGAAAAAGUGUGGGAUUUCAAGGGAUUAAGCUAAUAAAGGUAAAAUUUUGUGAUUUUAUCUUGUGAUUUACACUACCCAUGCUUUCUUUUUCAUUUUCCAUGCUUAGAACUCAAGUUUGCAUGAUGAACCCAUGCUGGCCGAAUUUGAGAGGAGAGGUUUUGAGCAUUGAUUUUGCUAGAUUUCAAGCUAAUUAAGUGUUUUUGGUUGUUUGGUAAUGGAAAGUAUGAAAAUCUAGCAAGGAAUCACUUUGUUCUUCACAAACCCACAAGAGGCCAAAUUUUCUAGGGAGGAUAUUGAGGCUGAAAUUGAUGAUAUUUCAUGAUAUUUUGGUGGUAUUUAAUGAUUGGUGAGGCUAGAAAUUUAAUGGGAAAUUUUGGCAUGAAAAUCUGAAUUUUUACCUAAUGUAUAGACAUGUGCGAUUUAUGGUUCGGACUGAUAAAUUGAAUCAUAUUCACAGUCAUUGAGGUAUUUUAAGUAUAAUUGGAGUGUAGAAAGUGAAAGAAAUCGAUUUGGAGUUAAAUUGGAGGUUUUAGCCAAUUACACCGAGAAUAGUGCGAAUUAGGUCGAAUACCGUAUUUAAACGACUAUUUGGACAUUUUACAUCACAUUUCGUGCAUUCAUAUAGAUUUAUAGAGCCUGAAAUAGUUUAUGAUAAAUUGAAACAAUUUAUUGAAAUUCGUGUCACGUAUGAUGUAUAAGUGGUGAGCCCUCUAACAAGGGUAAAGAGAUUGUGCCCGAAGAUCGGGAAUAUGAGUAUAUCGAACUCCUAGUACUGUGAGUAACCUUACUAUCAUCUUAAUUAUCUAAAGUGAUUUUUAUCCGAUUUUGUGAUUUUAUGAAAAAUGAGUUAAACGAUAAAUCCUUGUGUUUUGUAAUUAAAAUGUGAUUUCAUGAAAUGAUUUUAUAACAUUGUCUUGAAAUGAAAUGAUGGUUUUGAAAAUAGAGUAAUUGGAGACCAUUUGAUGCAUUGUGAAUUUAUGGUUCUAAUUUAUUGGCUUAUGACAAUAUUGGCAUGAAUGGCUGAAUUAGUAUUUGUGUUGAAAUGUAUAAACUGUUGUUUGCCUUGAUAGGCUGGAUAAUGAUAAAAGUAACCUUGUCAUGCUGUUGAAUUUUUAUUGUAUGGUGGGUUUAGUUUGCUGCAGUGGGCUAGUUUUGUGGACCAGCCUAUUAGAGGGGCACGGAACCUGGUCAUAUAUAUGUACCUCCAUUGGAGAGGCACGUAGGGUAACUCUCGAAGUCAAACUUUAGAGUUCACUUCACGCCAAACCACAACGUGAGGGUGAACUCGGCCAACGCCAAGGAACAGCUAUGUUUUCAAAAUAAAAAAAUGAUUUAUGCGUGCAUAACUUUUUAACAGCCUUGGCGGACUCAGUUUGGGAUAGCCCUCGACCAAGGUAUCCCUGAUGACUGAGUAUGAUAAUGAUUUUGGCAUGAGCUAAAGUUUUAAAAAAUUCAUAAGCCAUGUUAAUUACUCGAUUUAUAUGAAUUGAUUUUAUUUGGUUGAAACAAGUUGAAAGGUGAUGAAUUUCAGUAUGUUAAAUUGUUUUAUCUGUCUCCAUUUAAUCGACUUUAGAUGGUUUAGAUGGUAUCUAUUUACUCACUGGGAUUUUAUAAUCUCACCACCCUCCUUGUCAACCAUUUCAGGCCCGAGGUAGCUUGUGGAUAGCAGAUAUCGUCAAGGAUUAUAGUCGACUUUACUACUCCAAAAACUGUAAGUUUACUGCCUUUGUGCACUUUUGUUCCUUGUGCACCCACGAGUCACUGUAAAGUAAGUUUCAUAUCCUAGUUAUCUGUAUUAUAGUAUGUAUGAAUUUAUUUAGCUUUUAUAUUACAGAAAUUAUUUACCGAUGACUCUAUAGAUAUUGUUUUACAAGAAAUUAGAAUAUUUUAUUGAAUAUUUUUAUUUUAUUCAAAUAGUUGCAAUAUCAUUUUUAAUAAAUAUUUUAGACACCC